CCUUAGGAUUAGGAAGUAGUUUUGUCUUUUACUGAAGUGUUAAGUGUCAUUUCUUUUCUUUAUUUCUUUCUUUUUGUUCCUUUUCUCUUUGUGUUUGUCCGUGAUCCUUUAUUGCAGGUAAUGAGUGAUUUCGUUGAAGUUGGAGAUUUAACCCAGCCAACUCCACGCAACGCUGCAGGUAGCAGCCACAAGCCACAGACCUACGGUGCUAUCGUGAGCAGAUGCUUCUUGUCACUGGAAGGCUGUGACCACACCCGUGGUAUUUAAAGACGAAAAAAAAGGGAGAGAAGAAAAGAUUGCUAUACAGCAAACCCUCCAUUGUCUUACCGUGGCAUAAAAUCCCAACCCACGGCUUGACCGCAAUUCACCGGCAUUAUCAUUUAAAAAGGAGUAUAAUUGAAUUUUGUGAGGAGCAUAACACUAUCAAGGAAGACAUCUCAUCUAUGUUGCACUCUUGAAGAACUUAAACACUUGGAUGAAGUCACAAGGGUUUCCAAAUCCUUCACUUUCCCCUCCUCAGUGAGGCUUUGGAGUAGCUCAAGUUGGUAGACCUCAGAGAAGAUGUUGGUAGAAUGAGUACGAAUGUACGAUGUCUAGGAGCCACCCACGUUUACAAGGUGUUUACAUUGUGAUACAAACAAGAGUUCAAGACAAAUACAAGAUCACCGGGUAGCCAAUACCACGGCGUACCCGUGGCCUACUUUACAUCCCACACCCGAGCCAUGGCACUCUUCUUUCGAUCCCGUAUUAAACGUUUAAUGAGAUAAUUACUAGAGUUUAAUAGUUAGUAUACUUAUUAUUAUGUUUAGGUAUAAAUACAAGUAGUAUAGAAGACCUAAAACUUCUUCGGUGACAUUAGAUUGAGACGCAGCAUACGCAGCGACGAGAGUUUUGGAAUGCGCUUCUUUUGUUCGUUGCUUUUGGCUAAAUUACGUGAGUUGACUUUAAUUUUCUUCUUGAUUUAUGAAAUAAGAGUAUCAUUCAAGUUUAAAUUAAUAACAAGUUUAUUGCUUU